GGGGAUAUAGCUCAGUGGUAAAGCAUUCAACUGCGGAUCGAGAGGUCCUUGAUUUGAACCCGUGUGUCCUCU
rnacentral:tRNA from 1 species